UACGGAGGGUGCGAGCGUUGUCCGGAAUCCUUGGGCGUAAAGGGUGCGUAGGCGGCCCGUUAAGUCAGUGGUGAAAGCCUCCAGCUCAACUGGAGAACUGCCAUUGAUACUGGCGGGCUUGAGUACAGACGAGGUUGGCGGAAUUGAUUGUGUAGCGGUGAAAUGCAUAGAUACAAUCAAGAACACCGAUUGCGUAGGCAGCUAACUAGGCUGUAACUGACGCUGAGGCACGAAAGCGUGGGGAGCGAACAGG
rnacentral:rRNA from 1 species